AUGUUGUAUGGAGAGUUCUGUCUGGCCAAUGUGAUCAGAAGAACUCACAGGUGGUAUUGUACCAAGGUUUGUUCAGGUGUGGGCCCUGUCUCACCCCACUGUCCAAGAAGACUGUUAAUGUUGAGGAUUGUCUCUAGAAGCCACGUCCAGAAAGUGUUUCUGCUCCUUUUGCCGAGGAACGAAGGCUGUGCAUCACAAACCAGGACAGGGGGGAUAGGAAUGCACGGCACAAGGACAGCUCACGACCUGAGAAACAGGAUAUACACGUGAGUAAAUUUUGAGGAUGAAGGUGACUGCCCAUCACCAGCUGUUCUGAGUGGAAAUCUAGCACAGCAGAGCGCUGGGACCAGGAAGGACAGCAUUUGCACAGUGCACACUGCCCACUGGAUAGAGUGCUUUUUCAAAGCUGUGUCUUUACACCUGUACAAUCCAAGUAAAGUGGAGAAAUAAAUCAUUGUGCACAGUUGUCA
rnacentral:lncRNA from 1 species